CUGCGUUUUUUUUUUUUUUAGGGGUUUUUAAUUUUUUUUUGUUGAAAUUUCUGGAGAUAUGCUAUAAUGGCAGAACAUGCACAUUGUAGUAGUUCAAUUAGAGGUCUUCCACUGGUGAAUUUAGUUUUCGAUGAACUACCAUCGUUCAGUCUUGGUUUAACACAAGAUGAAGACAUUAACUUGAUUUCUACUCAUAUUCAGUCGAAGAGAGGUGUUAUCAUAGAAGAGGUGAGAUCAGAAGAAGUG
rnacentral:lncRNA from 1 species